UUUUCACGAGAAAACUUUUAAACCUUAAUUUGAUUUUUAUGUUAUUCUGUCCCAAAAGACGUUUGAAAAGUUUUAGAAACAAAACACAAAACAAGUAACAAAUUCACACGGUGAAAUAUUUUUUUUGUAUAUGUUGCACAAAAAAAACUAUUCCAGAGCUCUUUUUAUCUCCCCUCUCCUACCUGUGUUUGGAGGUACGACAGAACUGUAAGGAAUCAGCAUCAUGAAACUGCAGGCUUGUUGGCACAGGACCAGUGAUGGUCUGUUUACAAUUUCAGCAAGCACAUCUCCAUCUCAUUUAAAUGCUGGAAGCUUCUUCACACAGCGGAGUGCCGUCCCCCGAGCCUCUCUGAACAAUGAAUCCUCUUGCCUGGAGACAUCCCCGUCAGAGAGAUGCAUCCUUGAGAUAUUCUCAGUCCGGAAGUGACUCACUCAUGUGGAUAGUUUUCCACGUUUAUUCUGCAGGUCAGAGGUGGCAACAUCAACUGGGAUAAAAAGAAGCCUCACUGUUUGUGUUUUUCAUGUUUUUUUGAUUUUUUUUUGCUCAGUUUUGUGUGUUCAUGUCACUUUGAUCAUGUUUUUUUUAAAUUGAAAUUGCUAUUUUUUUUGGAUUCUUGUGACUUUUACUUUUUCCAACACUAGUUUAGAUCCCAUGCUGUUUGAGAAAAAAAUUACAAAACUAAUUGACUUUAUUUGGUUGGAGCUGGAGGUAGACCAAUUUCAAUGGGUGACUCACACUUCAAACUAUCAAGUUAUGUCACUUUAAAGUCAUUUACAUGGUCCAGUCCACUAACCAGCUACAUUUCCUUAUUUACAUUUACUUAAUGAAUUCUCCUCUUUGUUUCUGGUAAUUUGCUUUGUCAUUUAUUUAUUGUUACCGUUAUUGUUGCUCAUCACAUCAUCCCAAUCUGUUAGAAUUUCAGCAAUGUUUUUGUUUUGCUUUUACUUUCCUGUUCUUACAACACUACAGAUGGUAAUUUUGCUAUAACCUGGCACAAAUCUUUGCUCAUGUUUCAUGUGAUCAUUGUUCUUUGGUGCAUUGACCCUAAUUUUAAAUAAACUCUUAAACUUUGUUCAAAAAACUGUACACCUCAUAAUAGCAAAAAAAAAAAA